AGAAACACAAUUAUACUCUCAAACAUUUCAUCUAACUCUAUUACAACAUGUCAUGUAAAAGUUUAAACAACAGCAUAGUAACUACUUACUACUAUACAAGAAAUGAAACACAAACUAUUUUCUCCACAAUAAAAAUUCUUAACCUCUCUAAGUAUUCUGAACAUAACCUAUCACACUGGUAUAGCAUCAACUUUUGACGCAUCUUCACAUCUUAACACAAUGCCCUCAAGGCUAGCAGGAAAUAUGCAUUUCAGCCACUGGCACCCUGUUGUAAAUGCCUCAGGAGGUGGGACAAUCAUAAGCACGUUUUCAUUCCUCUGAACCACUCCAAUCACACUCACUGUGCUUCCUUCUUUUAUAUACCCUUCCUUCAGUCGCAUUAUACGAUCAUCACUUGAAAGGCUUCUUUCUCUCAACCACCUGAUAAAUUCUGGAGAUAACUCACUAUUCAAAGGAUCCACAUCAACAACUACUGACUCGUCUACAUAAGGAGUCACCUUUGCACCAUACCCAGUCUUAACCAAUGCUCUUAACCCUGACUGAAAAUCAGAGAUAUAAAAGUCGACCACAUGCCUUUCUGAAGACCUGACGCCCCAUGUAAAACGCCGGUGAGUAGGAUUUGCAGCUUUUGAAUCCCAUCCUCGAUA
rnacentral:misc_RNA from 1 species